AUAUUCAUCUUACAGAAAAUCAUCUUUACACGUUGAACAUUCAUCAUAAAUGAGCCCGAGACCACAUGAACUGAAUCAGAGCUGCAGGUUCGUCAUUCUUCACUCUCUCAGCCAGAUGAACCAGGAUCUCACAGAGGAGCAGCAGGCGGACGCGAACUGGGGACUAUUUUCCACGCGAGUCAGAGGACUUUAGCCCCGUGUUUCUGGAGUUUUGAGAAGGUUCACGAGGACCUGGACCCCUGGUUUCAGCUGUUAAGGGACGUUUGUUUGGGUUUUCUGUAAAUCUGAUGUUUAAACUUGUAAAAAGGUCUAAUACUCUGAUAUUACAACUGAAUUAAACGUAUUUGAAGCUGAUUAA